rnacentral:rRNA from 1 species
GUGGGGAAUCUUGCGCAAUGGGCGAAAGCCUGACGCAGCCAUGCCGCGUGGAUGAUGAAGGUCUUAGGAUUGUAAAAUCCUUUCACCGGUGAAGAUAAUGACUGUAGCCGGAGAAGAAGCCCCGGCUAACUUCGUGCCAGCAGCCGCGGUAAUACGAAGGGGGCUAGCGUUGCUCGGAUUUACUGGGCGUAAAGGGCGCGUAGGCGGACAUUUAAGUCAGGGGUGAAAUCCCGGGGCUCAACCUCGGAACUGCCUUUGAUACUGGGUGUCUUGAGUAUGAGAGAGGUGUGUGGAACUCCGAGUGUAGAGGUGAAAUUCGUAGAUAUUCGGAAGAACACCAGUGGCGAAGGCGACUCACUGGCCCAAUACUGACGCUGAGGCGCGAAAGCGUGGGGAGCAAACAGGAUUAGAUACCCUGGUAGUCC